rnacentral:lncRNA from 1 species
GUUCCCUCCUCGGGCCACUGUCAGGUCCUUGAGCGUGGGCACUGGGUGCUCGUUGCUACUGGACCCAGUGCCCCCUACAAAGAGGUACUUAGCGCUCGUUGGGUGAGAGCCUGCAGAGUUGGCCCGGCCACACCCGCCCCACAGCAGCACUCCAGCGGUUGUUACCAAACAGCUGGUGUCCCAGACCUUGCACGGAGAGGUGCUCAGUGUGGGAACUGGACUGAGGGUGACCUCCCCUCCAGGAGCCUCUGUCUUUCCAAGUCCUAAUGUAGAAUGGCCCUCAGCGUCUCGGAGGGAUGCAGAACCCCGUCACUGGCCCUGCCACGUCCUCCUUCAAAUUCAGCCUGUCACUUACCCGUGACAUACAGCUGGGGCUGGCUUCAGCCGGCCAGGCCCCCUGCCUUAAACCAAGUGCUGGUUGGUCUUACAAGGUUCUGAUUCCAUAAAGAACCCAAAUCCAUCCCAGAAUCAAGGGACUUUUUAGCAGGACCUGGGUCAGGGGUAUGACUGUCCGUCCUAAGGCAGUUUUCUAGGCCUUCCUCAGGGACAAAGAAACUGUCAGAAGCUGUGAAACAAGGUGGGCUCUCUGGAGUGGGGCUGGCAAGAUCAGGGGAGGCGGCCUCCUGCGGUGCUCCUAGGCGGUUCCUUCCAGUGAGAUCUGUGCUGUGUCUGCCUUCAAAAUGACCUUAAAGUCUGUGAUAAGGGCCCAGGAGUUAACUGGGACAAAAAGAAUGAAGGACAGGAGCGUGGUGCCACGGCAGAAGGAGGAGGAGCCGGAGCAGCCCGGGCUUGUGCUGGCCCGUGGGCUCGCGUGGCUGUGGACCCAGCACUGGAGCCCGACUCUAUCUCCCUUCUGGCGUGGAAGGAAACGCUGCGGGGGACACCGCGUGGGCACCAAGGGAGGCCCUGCAUCUGGUGGCGCUUGGACAUCCACAAGCUGGACGUCUCCAGUGCCAGCCCCCUCCAGCUCUCCAAUUCUUUGCUUCUGUUGCUGCAUCUUAAAUGUUAUUCAAGCUGGAAACCGAAUAGGAAGAACAAAUGGCUGCUCUGCUCCAGUCCUUACUCGGUACUAGUGUGACCUUGGACAAGUGGCCUAACCUCUCUGAGCCCCAGUGGGGAAAUACCUGGCUUUCAAGGUG